GAUGAAGAACGUAGCGAAAUGCGAUAAGUAAUGUGAAUUGCAGAAUUCAGUGAAUCAUCGAAUCUUUGAACGCACAUUGCGCCCGCCAGUAUUCUGGCGGGCAUGCCUGUCUGAGCGUCAUUUCAACCCUCAUGCCCCUAGGGCGUGGUGUUGGGGAUCGGCCAAAGCCCGCGAGGGACGGCCGGCCCCUAAAUCUAGUGGCGGACCCGUCGUGACCUCCUCUGCGAAGUAGUGAUAUUCCGCAUCGGAGAGCGAUGAGCCCCUGCCGUUAAACCCCCAACUUUCCAAGGUUGACCUCAGAUCAGGUAGGAAUACCCGCUGAACUUAAGCAUAUCAAUAAGCGGAGGA
rnacentral:misc_RNA from 1 species